rnacentral:lncRNA from 1 species
ACACAGCUGGGAUGUGGCAGAGCUGGGGUUCCAGCUCCUGUUCCCAUUGCUGGACAGCUGCCACAUCUGGCACCCAAUUUAGGACCCCGCGGGGAGGCCCAAGCCCCGGGGGUGGCGGGGGAUCCUAGAGGAAAGUGGCAAGGCCAGGACCCUGGAGCAGAGCCAGAGUAGAAAACUGAGGCUCUGAGAGAUGAAGCUACUUGCCAAGGUCACGCAGCACAGUCACAUCCUACUGAACAUCAUCCUGUUCUCUGGGUGGAAUGUCACCAUCGCCCAGGUGGGGAUUUUUGUGUGUUUUGUUCACUGCUGUACACCCAGCCCCCAGCACAGCGCCUGUCCAGGACAAGUGCCCAGUAAACACUUGGGAAGCAAUGCAAGCGUCCUCCCAGCAGCUCCUGCAAACAGACCCCCGACCCAAGCCCUUCCUUCUGCCUCCACUGCCACCACUGCUGCUCAUCUCUGCUGGCACAGAAGUCUCUUCCCUGGUCUUCCAGAAAUCCCCUCUCCACACUCAGCCAGAGGGAGCUAUUAAAACUGUGGGCCAGCCCACAUCAGUCCACAGCAAAGUCCUCUCUAAGGGAUCUCUGUUGCUUGGAGAAUAAACCCUCGGAUUCCUUCCUUGGCUCUCGGGGCCUCCUCUCUGACCUCCCUCUGUCUCCUCUCCCAGCCUUCCUCCUCACUCACCCUCCAGCCAUGCUGGCUUCCUCCUUGCUCCUGAAACAGCCUGAGGCCCACACUGCCCCGGGCCCUUUGCACUGGCUGUUUCCUCUGCCUGGAACACUUCUCCUAGGCAUCCACAGGGCUCCCUCCCACAACUCCUUCGGGUGCCCACAUGGGAAGCCAUCCCUGACCACCCCCCCGACUUCCUUCUGAGCAAGGUAGGGUCUUUCUACCUAGUCAUGAGGGCAGGGAUUUUUGUCUGUUGUGUUCUCUGUGUGCCCCCAGUGCCAUCCCAGUGCCUGGCAGAUGGUAAGUGCUCGACACACAUUGGCUGACUGCCUGAAUGAACAACUCUAUGAGCCGAUGGCAGAUAAGGACACUGAGGUCCUCUGGGGUAGGUGACCAGCCCAAGGCCACACAGCUGGUCUGAGAUUAGGCCAGGAGAGGAGCCCGGGUUGGUCACAUCCUGGAGUUGGCGUCUUGGAAACUGCAUCAGGAGAAUAACAAAGAUGAGACGCAGGCUCUAACAAGUGGAUACCAGUGACUCUCGCCCCGCCAGCCCCAGCCCUGCAGCCUUGGGCCCUUCCAGGAGUCAUGGUCUGCCUGCCUGGGGCAUUCCAGGCUUCGACCCAGGUCCUGCACUUUCUAUUUUGAGCCUCUUAGUCCUGAGGACUGUGUGUUCCCAGCAGGCGGCGCGGGCCAGAGGCUGAGCCUGGGUGUGGCUGUCACCCUAUCUGGGGCCAGAGACCCAGAUUCCCGGGCCCUUAACCUGUUGGCUGCUGAGGGCUCUGGCAUAAGCCCUGUUCCCUGCUUGAUUGUCUCCCCUUCAAGCCCCUGCCCUGGUAUCGUAUCGGCCCAUCUCACCUUGGAUUAUAUCCCUGUUUGGCCCCAUUUGAAUCCUGGCUCUGCCCCUUUCCAGCAAUGUGACCUUGGGCAAGUCACUUCAUCUCUCUGGGUCUCAGUUUCUUCAUCUGGGAAAUGGGGACAAUAAGAGUACCUGUCUCUGGCCAUGUGUGGUGACUCAUGCCUGUAACCCCAGCGCUUUGGGAAGCCGAGGCGAGAGAAUUGCUUGAGACCAGGAGUUUGAGAUCAGCCCUGGGCAACAUAGUGAGACCCCUGUCUCUACAAAAUUCUAAAAAAAUUAGCCGGGUGUGGUGGUGUGUGCCUGUAGUCCCAGCUAUUCUAGAGGCUGAGGCGGGAGGAUUGCUUGAGCCCAGGAGUUUGAGGCUGCAGUGAGCUAUGAUUAUGCCCCUGCACAUCAGCCUGGGUGAUAGAUUGAGGCCCCAUCUCUAAAAAUAACAAUACUAAUAAUAAAUAAAAAUGAAAAUGAGUACCUGUCUUCUGGGGUUGCAGAGGAGAUUCAAUGUGAUGAAAUUGAUGAGAGUGCCCUGCAGGGAGCCGGAAACUCAGGGAGCAUCGAUAAUGAGUCCCCCACCAUCAGCAGCUGGCUUAAAUAUAAAAACUGUCAUGGCCUCUGGAGAAAUGACAAGAAUUCGAAGGAGCUUCCCUGCACUGGCCACCCUACACCCUACACCCUUACUUCCUCCCCUCAACUUGCCUGGAUUUAUCGACCCCCACUACCCCACUGGUUGCCUUCUCUCCACCUGGCACAUUUCGUAUGAAUUUGCUUGUUGGUUCUUGCCUAUCUCCCCAGUAGAACAUUAGCUCCUUCAGGACAGGGACUUUUGUCUACCUUAUGCACCUAGUGCAAUGCCUGGCACACAGUCGGUGCUUAAUAAAUGUUUCUUAAAAGAACCAAUAAAUGAAUAGUGACCUCUCCGGGGAGAGGAGCCCUGAGCUCACCUCCUGCCCCCAGCCCAGGGCUCUUAGGUGCUUGUUGGUGUCAGGCCCAGGCCCCCCUCUCAUCAAGCAGCCAAUAAAACUGCCCUGGUUGGCGUUCUCAUUUCACAGAUGGAGAGACUGAGCCCAGAGAGGGAGAGUCACCUGUCUGAUGUCACACAGAGGUCAGCAUCUGGGCUGGGAUUCCAGCCCAGGACCAUGUGGGGUGGGGGGCAGUGGAUCAAUCUUUUCCUGGAGGGAGUCAAUGGUGAUGGUGGGAAUGGGUCAGGGGUGCUGGCAAGGAGGGUCCAAGGCCCCCAGGAGGGAGGGAGGCAUGGGAGAUGAGUUUGUCCCUCUUGAGUUCUGUCUCUCUCUGUGUCUCUCUGUUUCUGCCUCUUUCUGUCUCCUUGUAUUUCUCAGUCCCUGUCUUCGUCUAUACCUCUUUCUCUCUUCCUUGUGUAUCUGACCCACUGCCCAGGAGGGGAUGCAGGCAGAGACCCCUGGCUUGGGUCCUGGAGUUGGGGCCCACGAGGGGAUUGACAUCUGGGGUUGAGCUGGGAAUCUGAAGCCAGACCCUGCAGCCAGGGACAGCAUUCCAGUCUCGGCUCCACACUCCAGGGAUAGCCUUGGAACGCCAGGCAGUUCAGAGAGCCUGAGGUCUGGUCUUGGAGACCUGGGUUCCAAUCCCAGCUUUGCCACAUUCCAGCCAUGUGGCCUUGGGCCCUUAGCCUUUGUUCCUGUAAAAUGGGACCACUGAGAGCCCGAUCUCAGGGUUUUAUGAGGAGGAACGAUGAGAGGGCUGUGCUGGGCUUCCUGAAGCCCUGUGUGGCCUGGAAAGCACUCAAUAGAUGAUAACUCAGUGUAAUGAUUUCUUCUAGCAGAUGGGGAAAGCGAGAGUUAAAGAGGCCCGAUCAUUUCACUCACUCAUUCCUCAAACGUUAUUAAGCACCUGCUAUGCACCAGGUGCUUUGUUUUGUAUCCAUUAACUCAGGGUUCAGCAAACUACAGCCUCCAGGCCAAAUCUGGUUCACAGCCUGUUUUUAUAAAUAAAGUUUUAUUGGCACACAGUAUGCCCAUUCAUUUACAUAUUGUCCACAGCUGCCUUUACCCUACAACUGCAAUGUUGAGCAGUUGUGAGAGAGACCUUAAAACCCACAAAGCUGAACAUAUGAACUCUCUGGACAUUUACAGUAAAGUUUGCUAAUCCCUGGAUUAGCCCAUUACAACCCUGGAGGAAGGACAUGUCAUAAGCUUGAUUUUAUGGAUUAGGAACUGAGGUCCGAGCGCAGUGUCUGCCACAAGGUUGGGUCUCCAUACGUAAUAUCUGGGUCUUAUUCCUCCUCUUCUGCCCCAUGGGGAGCUGCCAACUCCUGUUCCCUUUCCCUAUCCUGCAUGGAUCAUAAGUGGAUAAUUUGAAUCCCGCAGAGGAAGGAAUGCUGUUUGAAGGUCAGGUCAAUGGAAAGAGUCCUAUUUUCAGGUCAAUUUGGACCUUGCCAAAGCCUCUUCCUUCUGGUGACCUUAGCUGAGAGGUCUGCCACUAGCAGGUGCUUCAUGAACAGUUGCUGAACAAGUGGUGUGCAUCAUGCUCCCGCUGUGAACUUCAGCUUGCUUGAAGGCGGAUUCCUCCAGGUAAUUGCAGGAGACCCCACGGCCGGCCACACACCACCGUUGGGAUGAAAGAUGGCCUCGAGCCAUCGGUGGGAGAACACCCUGGGCAGGGAGAUGCUUUCUAGAGCUCCACGGAAGUGGGGGAGGGGAUCUCACUGCCCGCCAAGCAUGCCCUGGAGUCUUUGUCCCUUCCUCCCUCAUGCUGGAGGCCUGCAGGUACCUGGCUUGAGACGUUGCCUGGCCCUCAAAACACCCAGGUUCCCCCCAAGCUCCUCCCCAGCCUCCUCCCUGCUGACCUUGGGGAGCUCCCGGUUUGCCCUCAGCCCUUUUCUGGAGGCCCCAGAAUCACCAAGAGGUAAUCCUGCCUGCUGCCUGGAGGAGGCGAUGUGGGAGACUCAGGAACCUGGGGUGUCCCCCAGCCAGGGGGCGGGCGUUGUGAUCCGGCGCUGCUGAGCACUGCAGUGCCUUCCCUGAUGGCCUUGUGUGCCGCUCCCUGACCCUCCCGUAGAGCAGCCUUCCCAUACUGCUGGGUGACACUUGCGUAAAUCAUUUCACCUCUUGGCUCUGUAAAACGGGACUGGGGUGGUCCCUACCCCUUCAGGGUGUCGUGAG